CACGCAGGCGGUCUUGUCAGUCAGAUGUGAAAGCCCGGGGCUCAACCCCGGACGUGCAUUUGAAACAGCAAGACUUGAGUACGGUAGAGGAAAGCGGAAUUCCUGGUGUAGAGGUGAAAUUCGUAGAUAUCAGGAGGAACACCGGUGGCGAAGGCGGCUUUCUGGACCGAAACUGACGCUGAGGUGCGAAGGCGUGGGUAGCGAACAGGAUUAGAUACCCUGGUAGUCC
rnacentral:rRNA from 1 species